rnacentral:lncRNA from 1 species
GAAGCCUCCUCCUCCCUCUUGUGUCUGAGCACUGGGGAGGGGGCUAGGAACCGAGUCCAGGAGGCCUCAGGAAAAGAAGGGGAAGGGACCGAGCCGGACUCCACAGCAUUUGCUUGGCACCCGCUGUGUACGCAGAGUGCCGGAGAAGUUGGGCGUUGAUGGGGGAGACUCGGGCAGAGGACGCGCACCCUCCCUGGCCCACUCACAGGCCCCUGGAGGGGCCCCCACAACAGCCCCCCAGCCACCCCCAACCUGGCCUCCAGCAUCUCUCUCUGCCGAGUCCUUGCCUCUCCCCCGAGGAGAGCGGAGCCUCCAAUCAGGGCCUGGGAAAGCAAUUUUUCAAUCUCCAACUGCAAACACUAAUACCGCUGAAGCUAAUUUUACAGAUUUCCACUUCGAGGCCUUGCCUUUGUCCCAGAAUCCCUCAGCCCGGGAGAUUAGCAGUUUAGAGACUGGAAAAAAUAAGGGAGACGUCAAAGCCGCCAGGACCAGUCAAAGUAAUAUGCCUGCGACCGGCACAUGGACUUUUAUUUCUUCUCCCUCCACGCUCCAGAGCUGCUCCUGCGGCGUGGAGAGAUAAAUAUUUUAAAUAGCGACACUUUGGCGAUGCACGGUUAUGCAAGACAAGGAAUAAUUAGAAAAUAAAUUACUUUUUUUAAACACAGCGUUACAAACAUCGGGUGCAUCAGAUUACUGUUCUCUGCAGGCCAGGGCCACACGGCUCAGGGAGGCCAGCGCAACAAGGACCUCAGGGAGCAAGCACACACCAGCCUGUCCCCACAGCCCCCAGAUGGUGACACCCCUCCCGCCUGCUCUGGGAGGCUCCCAGAAUCGAGCUGAAGACCACACUUGGCAGCUUCCAGAAGAUCUCAGCGAUGGAAAGGCUUCCUCCGGCGUCUCACCAGCAGUAGCGCAGACUAAAAAUAGUUUAAUCUCCUUGAAAGCAAAAGGAGCAAUCAGCAAAACAGACACUUGGGCCCACAUGCUCCCCCCAUUCCUCUCCUCGUUCUGCCCCCAUCCAUCCAAGCUGUCCCCAGCUAUGCAUUGUCAACUUCUACCCAUCCCAGGAUAGUGCCCCACAGCCUCUGAGGAGGGCAGCUAUUGCCCA